rnacentral:rRNA from 1 species
UACGUAGGGGGCAAGCGUUAUCCGGAAUUACUGGGUGUAAAGGGAGCGUAGACGGUGAUGCAAGUCUGGAGUGAAAGGCGGGGGCUCAACCCCCGGACUGCUUUGGAAACUGUUUGACUGGAGUGCAGGAGAGGUAAGUGGAAUUCCUAGUGUAGCGGUGAAAUGCGUAGAUAUUAGGAGGAACACCAGUGGCGAAGGCGGCUUACUGGACGGUAACUGACGCUGAGGCUCGAAAGCGUGGGUAUCGAACAGG